rnacentral:rRNA from 1 species
AAAGCUCAGAUUUGAAAUCGUGUUUCGGCACGAGUUGUAGAUUGCAGGUUGGAGUCUUUGUGGAAGCGUGUGUCUAAGUCCCUUGGAACAGGGUGCCAUUGAGGGUGAGAGCCCCGUGAGACGCGUGCGGAAGCUGUAAGGCCCUUCUGACGAGUCGAGUUGUUUGGGAAUGCAGCUCUAAGUGGGUGGUAAAUUCCAUCUAAGGCUAAAUAUUGGCGAGAGACCGAUAGCGAACAAGUACUGUGAAGGAAAGAUGAAAAGCACUUUGAAAAGAGAGUGAAACAGCACGUGAAAUUGUUGAAAGGGAAGGGUAUUGGGCUCGACAUGGGAUUUGCGCACC